AUUGAACGCUGGCGGCAGGCCUAACACAUGCAAGUCGGACGGUAGCACAGAGGAGCUUGCUCCUUGGGUGACGAGUGGCGGACGGGUGAGUAAUGUCUGGGGAUCUGCCCGAUAGAGGGGGAUAACCACUGGAAACGGUGGCUAAUACCGCAUAACGUCGCAAGACCAAAGAGGGGGACCUUCGGGCCUCUCACUAUCGGAUGAACCCAGAUGGGAUUAGCUAGUAGGCGGGGUAAUAGCCCACAUAGGCGACGAUCCCUAGCUGGUCUGCGAGGAUGACCAGCCAAACUGGAACUGGGACACGGUCCAGACUCCUACGGGAGGCAGCAGUGGGGAAUAUUGCACAAUGGGCGCAAGCCUGAUGCAGCCAUGCCGCGUGUAUGAAGAAGGCCUUCGGGUUGUAAAGUACUUUCAGCGGGGAGGAAGGCGGCACGGUUAAUAACCGUGCCGAUUGACGUUACCCGCAGAAGAAGCACCGGCUAACUCCGUGCCAGCCGCCGCCGUAA
rnacentral:rRNA from 1 species